AUCACUGCUCAGCCUUUUGGAUAAGAUCAAGUGUAGUGUAUGUUCUUAUCAGUUUAAUAUUUUAUCAAUUCUCUCUUAUUUCAAUUAUACUUUGGUUGAAUAGUACCUUCG
rnacentral:snRNA from 1 species